rnacentral:rRNA from 1 species
CCUACGGGAGGCAGCAGGCGCGCAAAUUACCCAAUCCCGACACGGGGAGGUAGUGACAAUACAUAACAAUGCAGGGCCUUUACGGUCUUGCAAUUGGAAUGAGUACAAUUUAAAUCCCUUAACGAGGAUCAAUUGGAGGGCAAGUCUGGUGCCAGCAGCCGCGGUAAUA